rnacentral:rRNA from 1 species
CCUACGGGUGGCUGCAGUGAGGAAUAUUGGUCAAUGGGCGAGAGGCUGAACCAGCCAAGUAGCGUGAAGGAUGACUGCCCUACGGGUUGUAAACCUCUUUUAUAAAGGAAUAAAGUGAGUCACGUGUGCCUUUUUGUAUGUACUUUAUGAAUAAGCAUCGGCUAACUCCGUGCCAGCAGCCGCGGUAAUACGGAGGAUGCGAGCGUUAUCCGGAUUUAUUGGGUUUAAAGGGUGGGGAGGUGGGGUGUGAAGUCAGUUGUUAAAGUUUGCGGGUCAACCGUCAAACUGCAAUUGAUACUGGAAGUCUUGAGUGCAGUUGAGGUAGGCGGAAUGCGUGGUGUAGCGGUGAAAUGCUUAGAUAUCACGAAGAACUCCGAUUGCGAAGGCAGCCUACUAGACUGCAACUGACAUUGAUGCUCGAAAGUGUGGGUAUCAAACAGGAUUAGAUACCCGUGUAGUC